UACUUUUUGUCCCAAGAACAACUAGCCUAUUGAGACCCUAUAAAUAGGUUUGGUUUGCAAAGGAAAAAAAAGUGUAAAAGUUUUGAGAUUUGAGAUGAUGGUGAAAAGAGAAUCUUUAGUCACUGCUUUCUUAUGGCUCUUACUUGUGACAUUAGUAGUUGUUGUAUAUGCAAAUGAUGAAGGGAAUACCAAAAUUCACCCACCAAAGUCUAACCAUAUGGUCUAUUAUCCUCAAGGUUGUAGGUGUUGCUGGUUCAUUUGGAAGCCAAUGAUCCAAUGUGGAAAAGCAUGCUGUGAAGAUGGAUGUUGCCCUUAAGCAUAUAAUAUAUCACAAGGUUGAAGGUUGAAGGUUGAAGGUUGAGGCAGACUCUAUAUAUGUACUUCUCUUUAUUUUGUGAAUAUAAUAUAUGCUGGAAGCAAACAAAACUAUUUGGAUAAUUUUUCCCUGAAUAAAACUAUAGUGUGCUAUGGAUAAUUUUAUGUGGAAGAUAUUUUAAUUACUAAAGUGACAUUUGGUUUU